GUCGUUCGUUGUGGACAGUGAGUUGGACUUCAAAUCCAAAGGUCGUGGGUUCGAAUCCCACGUGAGAUG